rnacentral:rRNA from 1 species
UACGUAGGGUCCGAGCGUUGUUCGGAUUUACUGGGCGUAAAGCGCACGUAGGCGGCUCGUUAAGUCGGGGGUGAAAUCCUGGAGCUCAACUCCAGAACUGCCUUCGAUACUGGCGAUCUUGAGUCCGGAAGAGGUGAGUGGAACUCCUAGUGUAGAGGUGGAAUUCGUAGAUAUUAGGAAGAACACCAGUGGCGAAGGCGGCUCACUGGUCCGGUACUGACGCUGAGGUGCGAAAGCGUGGGGAGCAAACAGG